CCAGCUUUGAGUAUGGUUUCUGGAUUUGGCCCUUAGAGGGUGAAAGGCCCGUCCGAAUGGAGGAUAAGAAAAGUUGGCAAUCCACUAUGCCGGCCUUCGAGUCGGGUUGUUUGAGAAUGCAGCCCAAAGAGGGUGGUAAACUCCAUCCAAGGCUAAAUACUAGCACGAGUCCGAUAGCGAACAAGUACCGUGAGGGAAAGUUGAAAAGUACUUUGAAGAGAGAGUAAACAGUACGUGAAACCGCAUAGAGGUAAACGGGUGGCGUCAAGCUGCAAGCCUAGAGGAUUCAGUCGGUCAGGAUUUUGAGUAUGCGCCUGGCGCAUCUACAGUCAGAGUGUGAUAUUGUGGUCCACUGGUUAAUAGUGGGUCCGGCCGCAAGGUUGGAAUUUGCGUUCCGUAUAUGUGCGGAGCUUGCCACUUGUCUAGGGACUGUCUGACCGAUGCACUUUCUCUAUGGUGAACACCACGACCAGUGGUACUGCCAGUCUGCUGCAGCCAAGUCUGGUUCAGUCGGCAUUUAUGUUGGCUGGGCUGUGAUCAUAGGCAAACUCAGUGAACGGUGUUCGGGUGUUUACGCAUUCGUUCAUGCUAUCGGACACUGGUUGUCAACGGGUCUGUUUGUCGACAAUUGUAGUAGUUGGCAGAUGGCCUGGUGGGCUACGGUGGUAAGAAUAACUGUGCAGGGCACUGGGGAUUGCGGUCUCAAAUUUGGUUCGCGCGCACACUACAAGUGUAUGUGGGGUGUCGUUGCAGUCUGCCUGUGGUCGGGCUUGAUCGUCGUGUUGCCUGCGCAAAGUAGGUCCGGCGGUAGCCUAAUCUUGGAUGGUAUUGUUGACGGCAUUCUCUGCGUGGACUGAU
rnacentral:rRNA from 1 species